GGAUUAGAUACCCUGGUAGUCCUUGCCGUAAACGAUGUAUACUUGAUGUAGUUGGACUCAACCCCGAUUGUAUCGUAGCUAACGCGAUAAGUAUACCGCCUGAGGAGUACGCUCGCAAGGGUGAAACUCAAAAGAAUUGACGGGGGCCCGCACAAGCAGUGGAGCAUGGGGUUUAAUUCGAUGCAACGCGCAGAACCUUACCCAGGCUCGAAGUGUAGUGGACAACUCCUGAAAGGGAGCUUCUCGUAAGAGUCGCUAUAUAGGUGCUGCAUGGCUGUCGUCAGCUCGUGCUG
rnacentral:rRNA from 1 species